CUCUCCUCCCCAAGCAUAGCCACGUGCGCCUCAGCUCCGGGACGCCGGGGUUUUAACCCAAAGAGAGAGCUGGUCUGGGGCCCAGGAACUUUUUUUUUUCUUUUGAGACAUAGUCUCACUGUCUCCCAGGCUAGAGUGCAGUGGCGUUAUCUCACCUCAUUGCAAUCUCCGCCUCCCAAGUUCAAACCAUUCUCCUGCCUCAGCCUCUCGAGUAGCUGGGAUUACAGGCGCACACCACUACACCUGGCUGAUUUUUGUAUUUUUAGUAGAGACGAGGUUUCACGAUUUGGGCCAGGCUGGUCUCCAGCUCCUGAUCUCAAGUGAUCCGCCCGCCUUGGCCUCCCAAAGCACUGAGAUUACAGAUGUGGGGCAUCUCACUCAGCCUCUACCUCUUUUCUUUCUACAACCCCAUUUUCUGUUACCUUUCUCUGCAAUAAACUCAAUCACACACAUUCAGGAAGACCCCCAAGUAUAGAAACAAUCUCAUUAGCCAGCAAUGCACCCUCUCUUUUAUUAACUGAAAGAAGAAACAGCUGGGCACGGCGGCUCACGCCUGUAAUCCCAACAGUUUGAGAGGCCGGGGUAGGUGGAUCACCUGAGGUCAGGCGUUCCACACCAGCCUGGGCAAUAUGGCCAACCCCUGUUUCUACAAAAAAAUACAAAAGUUAGUCGGAUAUGGUAGUGUGUGCCUGUAGUCCCAGCUACUCAAGAGGCUGAGGUGGGAGGAUCGAUUGAACCUAGGAGGCUGAGAGACUGAGGCUGCAGUGAGCCAUGAUGGUACCACCGCACUCCAGCCUGGGUGACAGAGCCAGA
rnacentral:lncRNA from 1 species